GCAGGGGCUGUCAUAGUGGUGUCUACAGUUACAGUGGCAGGGGCUGCAGUAGUGGUGGCAGUGGCUGCUGUUGUGGUGGCAGGGGUUGUCUUAGCAGUGUCUGCAGUUGUGGUGGUAGCGGCUGUUGUCGUAGUGGCAGCUGCAGUUGUGGUUGAAGCUGCUGCUCUUGUGGUACCAGCUGGAGUUGUGGUGGCAGUUGCUACUGUUGUAGUGGCUGCUGUAGUUGAAGUGGCGGCUACAGUUGUGGUGGUGGCGGCUGCUGUUGCUGUGGUUGCAGGGGCUGUUGUAUAUAUGGCUGCAGUUGUGGUGGCAGGGGCUGUCGUAGGGACGUCUGCAGUUACGGUGGCAGGGGCUGCAGUAGUGGUAGCAGUGGCUGCUGUCGAGGUGGCAGGGGUUGUCUUAUUGGUGUCUGAAGUUGUGGUGGUAGCGGCUGUUAUCAUAGUGGCAGGGGUUGUCUUAUUGGUGUCUGAAGUUGUGGUGGUAGCGGCUGUUAUCAUAGUGGCAGCUGCAGUUGAUGUAGCAGCUGCACUUGUGGUUGCAAUGGCUGCUGUUCUUGUAGCGGCUAAAGAGUUGGUGGCAUGGGCUGUCUUAGUGGUGUCUCCAGUUGUGGUGGCAGGGGCUGUCGUAGUGGCGUCCUUAGUUAUGGUGGCAGGGGCUGCAGUAGUGGUGUCAGCUGCAGUUGUGGUGGUAGCGGCUGUUAUCAUAGGGGCAGCUGUCGUAGCAUAUGCACUUGUAUUUGCAGUGGCUGCUGUUGUGGUAGCGGCUAAAGUUGUGGUGGCAGGGGGUGUUGUCGAAGUGGCAGCUGUCGUAGUGGCGGCUGCAGUUGUGGUUGCAGCUCUUGUGGUACCAGCU
rnacentral:lncRNA from 1 species